rnacentral:rRNA from 1 species
CCGCACAAGCGGAGGAGCAUGUGGUUUAAUUUCGAUGAUACGCGAGGAACCUUACCUGGGCUCGAACGUAAGAUGACUGUAGGUGAAAGCUUACAUCUCUUCGGAGCUAUUUUACGAGGUGCUGCAUGGUUGUCGUCAGCUCGUGCCGUGAGAUGUUGGGUUAAGUCCCGUAACGAGCGCAACCCCUUUGUCCUUAGUUACCAGCACGUUAUGGUGGGCACUCUAAGGAGACUGCCGGUGACAAACCGGAGGAAGGUGGGGAUGACGUCAAGUCAUCAUGGCCCUUACGGCCUGGGCUACACACGUGCUACAAUGGUCGGUACAAAGGGUUGCCAAGCCGCGAGGUGGAGCUAAUCCCAUAAAACCGAUCGUAGUCCGGAUCGCAGUCUGCAACUCGACUGCGUGAAGUCGGAAUCGCUAGUAAUCGUGAAUCAGAAUGUCACGGUGAAUACGUUCCCGGGCCUU